rnacentral:rRNA from 1 species
GACCAUCAGCUAAGGUCCCCAAAUAUAUACUAAGUUGAAUAAACGAGGUUUGACUGCCUAGACAGCUAGGAUGUUGGCUUGGAAGCAGCCAUUCAUUUAAAGAGUGCGUAACAGCUCACUGGUCGAGCGACAGGGCAUCGAUAAUAAUCGGGCAUCAAGCAUAACACCGAAGCUAUGACAUAUUUAUAUGGGUAGGGGAGCAUUCUAACGGCGCCGAAGCAGUAUCGCGAGGUAUUGUGGAGCGGUUAGAAAAGCAAAUGUAGGCAUAAGUAACGAUAAUGCGGGUGAGAAACCCGCACACCGAUAGACUAAGGUUUCCCCGGCAAUGCUAAUCAGCCGGGGGUUAGUCAGGACCUAAGGCGAACCCGAACGGGGUAGUCGAUGGACAACGGGUUAAUAUUCCCGUACUACCAUACUCAGUGAUGGGGUGACGGAGUAGUGAAAGCGCUGCGUGCUGACGGAAUAGCACGUUGAAGGGUGUAGGUAUUGGUUGAGUAGGCAAAUCCGCUCGACUAGCUGAACCUGAUAGUACCACAAUCCUUCGGGAGCGUGGAUAAUGCGCCUAAUCAGACUUCCAAGAAAAACCUCUAAGCUUCAGAUAUUAGCUGCCCGUACCUCAAACCGACACAGGUAGUCAAGAUGAGAAAUCUAAG